rnacentral:rRNA from 1 species
AAUGGGUCAGCGACUUAUAUUCUGUAGCAAGGUUAACCGAAUAGGGGAGCCGAAGGGAAACCGAGUCUUAACUGGGCGUUAAGUUGCAGGGUAUAGACCCGAAACCCGGUGAUCUAGCCAUGGGCAGGUUGAAGGUUGGGUAACACUAACUGGAGGACCGAACCGACUAAUGUUGAAAAAUUAGCGGAUGACUUGUGGCUGGGGGUGAAAGGCCAAUCAAACCGGGAGAUAGCUGGUUCUCCCCGAAAGCUAUUUAGGUAGCGCCUCGUGAAUUCAUCUCCGGGGGUAGAGCACUGUUUCGGCAAGGGGGUCAUCCCGACUUACCAACCCGAUGCAAACUGCGAAUACCGGAGAAUGUUAUCACGGGAGACACACGGCGGGUGCUAACGUCCGUCGUGAAGAGGGAAACAACCCAGACCGCCAGCUAAGGUCCCAAAGUCAUGGUUAAGUGGGAAACGAUGUGGGAAGGCCCAGACAGCCAGGAUGUUGGCUUAGAAGCAGCCAUCAUUUAAAGAAAGCGUAAUAGCUCACUGGUCGAGUCGGCCUGCGCGGAAGAUGUAACGGGGCUAAACCAUGCACCGAAGCUGCGGCAGCGACACUAUGUGUUGUUGGGUAGGGGAGCGUUCUGUAAGCCUGUGAAGGUGUGCUGUGAGGCAUGCUGGAGGUAUCAGAAGUGCGAAUGCUGACAUAAGUAACGAUAAAGCGGGUGAAAAGCCCGCUCGCCGGAAGACCAAGGGUUCCUGUCCAACGUUAAUCGGGGCAGGGUGAGUCGACCCCUAAGGCGAGGCCGAAAGGCGUAGUCGAUGGGAAACAGGUUAAUAUUCCUGUACUUGGUGUUACUGCGAAGGGGGGACGGAGAAGGCUAUGUUGGCCGGGCGACGGUUGUCCCGGUUUAAGCGUGUAGGCUGGU